AAUGUAUAUAAAAUAAAAUAUAUUACAAGUAAAAUGAUCCGAGCUAAGCCGAGCUAACAAAUGAGCCAAUCCUGCUCGUUACGAGCCGAGUCGAGCUAGACUCACUUUCUAACCGAGCCGAGCUGGCUCGGCUUACUUUCAAACCGAGCUAUAUCGAUUGAGCUUUGUUAACUUUUGUUAUUUAUAAAUAUGCAAGAAACAAUGGAAUAUUGUAUAGACUAUCGUUGUAUGUUUGUAACUAUUAGUUAAUAACAAUUUGUUUAUUUAUGUGAGAACAAAACUGAAAAGGCACGAGCAAGUGCAAAGAAGAACAAAUACCCGACUCGCUCAGGACACAAAGGGUUUGCGGUUUGGAGCCCUAAUGUUGAACUUGCAGAAGAUGCGCACACAGAAUCUGUUAAACUAGCAGGUGGUACUUAUUGGUCUGGGACGGAAGAUCUACCAAGUAUGUAGCUUGGACCUAAGCACGGAGGCCGAUCACGACAACCUCUUUUAUAUGGAUUUAUUCUCUUGUAUUUUGUAAGAUUAAGUGAUCUUUUACAAUUGAUUUGUUUUUCUAAUCAAUGCAGUGUAUGCAAUAAGAUGGGUCUUGGGAGUAUGGAUACCUGGUUAUUUGGUUUAUGCUCGACUUUAUUUUAGACAUGCGAUUUCGUUUUCCAAAUGAUAUAUGGAACGGCAUAACAAGCGUCCCAAAGGAGGAUCACAUCUUAGUGAUGUUAUUGUCAGAGGUUGAUGUAUAUUUUAUACAAC